UACGUAGGGUGCAAGCGUUGUCCGGAAUUAUUGGGCGUAAAGAGCUCGUAGGCGGUUUGUCGCGUCUGCUGUGAAAACCCGAGGCUCAACCUCGGGCCUGCAGUGGGUACGGGCAGACUAGAGUGCGGUAGGGGAGAUUGGAAUUCCUGGUGUAGCGGUGGAAUGCGCAGAUAUCAGGAGGAACACCAAUGGCGAAGGCAGAUCUCUGGGCCGUAACUGACGCUGAGGAACGAAAGCCAGGGGAGCGAACGGG
rnacentral:rRNA from 1 species